rnacentral:rRNA from 1 species
GCUAGCGUUGUUCGGAAUUACUGGGCGUAAAGCGCACGUAGGCGGAUACUUAAGUCAGGGGUGAAAUCCCGAGGCUCAACCUCGGAACUGCCUUUGAUACUGGGUAUCUCGAGUCCGGAAGAGGUGAGUGGAAUUCCGAGUGUAGAGGUGAAAUUCGUAGAUAUUCGGAGGAACACCGGUGGCGAAGGCGGCUCACUGGCUCAUUUCUGACGCUCAGGCGCGACAGCGUGGGGAUCAAACAGG